GCCAGAUGAUGUAAAGAUUGGAUGAUUUCAUGAUUACACCUAUCCACUACCCAUUACUGAUGGCU